AAUUUCAAAACUCCCCUGCAAUUUGCGGGAGGGAACUGUUUCGAAGUCACAGGAUGUUUUGACAGUUGUUUUCCUGAGCUGUUUUGCUGUCCUGAAAUCGUCCUGUAAUUUCAGCUGUUGAAAAUACAGGACAGAAUCGGCCCGACCACAGGAGAAAAGAUUAAGUGUGUACACACUAAGAUUGCAAUUAUUCCACUCGGGACCAUGAUCCUCUGAAUUUCAGGAAAACAGCUCAAAAUGACACUUGGAACUGUCAAAAACAAGCAUUUUCCUGCGCCACGGGUUGAUAGCUAAUCGAAUCACGUGACAAACCCUGAAUCCAGAAAUUCGAAAGGAUUUCCUUUCGAGGGUUCAGGAAAACGAAAAAAAUCAGAAUAGAAAUCUCCUGUAUCUCACGACGUUGCUAAAAUAACAGUUGUGGUUUCGAAAUGUGUUUUUGUUGCGCUUUCAUUUGCUCGCUGUCGGUUUCAUCGUGGAAGUGGAAGUGGAAGCCUCUACUCGAAAAAGCGGAGUUUCUGGAAACAGUGCUGGAGGAACAGUUCUCCCCGGAGGAUCCUCCGGCGCAGUUAUAAACCACAAAAUCAACUGCCCGGCGAAUGGAUCUUCGACGUUCAACUCGCAGCCCAAUUUUUCACCGUCAAACAUAUGGUUGAGCUGGCGAAAUAUAUGAAUUCUUAUGAACGUGCCAAUGAGACCAGCACCGGCGUCGUUAUUUUAUGAAUAAAACUUUUUCUAAUAUUAUACUGCUUCUCAUAAAGAAUAAUAAAAGUUUAUUGAUUUUGAAAA